rnacentral:rRNA from 1 species
GGUGGUCUUUGGCCAUCCGAGUUGUAAUUUANAGAAGCGACUUCCGCGCUGGACCGUGCACAAGUCUCCUGGAAUGGAGCGUCAUAGAGGGUGAGAAUCCCGUCUUUGGCACGGAUGGACCCAGGGCUUCUGUGAUGCGCUCUCGAAGAGUCGAGUUGUUUGGGAAUGCAGCUCAAAAUGGGUGGUGAACUCCAUCUAAAGCUAAAUAUUGGCGAGAGACCGAUAGCGAACAAGUACCGUGAGGGAAAGAUGAAAAGCACUUUGGAAAGAGAGUGAAACAGUACGUGAAAUUGUUGAAAGGGAAACGCUUGAAGUCAGUCACGUCGGUCGAGACUCAGCCUUGCCUUGGCUUGGUGUACUUCUCGGCUCGACGGGNCAGCGUCAAUUUUGCCCCUCGGAUAAUGGYGAGAGAAAUGUGACACCCUUUGUGGGUGUGUUAGAGUCUCUCAUCGCAUGCGAGGGUCGGGAUUGAGGAACUCAGCACGCACCUUUUGGUGUCGGGGUUUUGCCCACGAUACGUGCUUAGGAUGUUGGCG